ACUGGUGAUCAGCAGGUUCCCAGUAAGAUCUAAGGAUUUGGGUGAGUGGGCACAGGCAUGCCCAUUAAGAGGCCAAAUAGCAGCAGUUAAUUGGUAUAUGGCCUCCUAAGUAUAUUUGACUGGUAAGGGAAGAACACUUCAAGUGAGCGUGCAUGUAACUCCAGUAAAGACACUGCGCAUGUUCACCUCUCAAGUGCUAGCAGGCCAUUGCGCAUGCGGACAGCCCACCUCCAGGGAAGAAUCAGAGGAGAAGGGACGGAAGGCCUCGGAAAUCUCCUGCCCUGGGAGAAGCCAGCUGCCAUAUCAUGAGAACGUGUAAGCAUCCUUGAGGAGCGGUCCAUGUGCUUUCCAGUGACUGCAGCCCUGGCCAACCUCUUGAUGGCCUCCUCAUGAGAGCUGAUGAGCCAGGACCACCCAGUGAAGCCAUUCCUGGAUUCGUGUCCUGCAGACACGGUGCAGCAGGUACUGGGGACUGGUUGCCACCAUUACAGCAUUAGUUGGUGCUAUAGACUGAAUUCUCUGUGCAUGCACCAAGCAAAGGCCAUGUGAGGACAUACCAGGAAAAGGCCCUCACCAGACACCAAAUCUGCCAGCACUCCAGUCUUGAACUUCCCAGCUUCUAGAACGAUGAGAAAUAAACUUCUAUUGUUUAAGCCACCCAAUGUAGAGUAUCUUGUUAUAGUGGUCUGGAAUGACUAAAUCAGUUGGUGACGGAAGUGAUAUGGGAGAUAACAUCAAGUAAAGAGUUUAUAUACCAUGUAAAGAGCAAAAGUGCUUAAGGGGCCAGGUGCGGUGGCUCACGCCUGUAAUCCCAGCACUUUAGGAGGCCGAGGCAGAUGAAUCACCUGAGGUCAGGAGUUCAAGACCAGCCUGGCCAAAAU
rnacentral:lncRNA from 10 species